AUUAGUGGCGAACGGGUGAGUAACACGUGAGUAACCUGCCCUUAACUCUGGGAUAAGCCUGGGAAACUGGGUCUAAUACCGGAUAGGAGCGUCCACCGCAUGGUGGGUGUUGGAAAGAUUUAUCGGUUUUGGAUGGACUCGCGGCCUAUCAGCUUGUUGGUGAGGUAAUGGCUCACCAAGGCGACGACGGGUAGCCGGCCUGAGAGGGUGACCGGCCACACUGGGACUGAGACACGGCCCAGACUCCUACGGGAGGCAGCAGUGGGGAAUAUUGCACAAUGGGCGAAAGCCUGAUGCAGCGACGCCGCGUGAGGGAUGACGGCCUUCGGGUUGUAAACCUCUUUCAGUAGGGAAGAAGCGAAAGUGACGGUACCUGCAGAAGAAGCACCGGCUAACUACGUGCCAGCAGCCGCGGUAAUACGUAGGGUGCGAGCGUUAUCCGGAAUUAUUGGGCGUAAAGAGCUCGUAGGCGGUUUGUCGCGUCUGUCGUGAAAGUCCGGGGCUUAACCCCGGAUCUGCGGUGGGUACGGGCAGACUAGAGUGCAGUAGGGGAGACUGGAAUUCCUGGUGUAGCGGUGGAAUGCGCAGAUAUCAGGAGGAACACCGAUGGCGAAGGCAGGUCUCUGGGCUGUAACUGACGCUGAGGAGCGAAAGCAUGGGGAGCGAACAGGAUUAGAUACCCUGGUAGUCCAUGCCGUAAACGUUGGGCACUAGGUGUGGGGACCAUUCCACGGUUUCCGCGCCGCACCUAACGCAUUAAGUGCCCCGCCUGGGGAGUACGGCCGCAAGGCUAAAA
rnacentral:rRNA from 1 species